rnacentral:rRNA from 1 species
UACAGAGGGGGCAAGCGUUAUUCGGAAUUAUUGGGCGUAAAGGGCUCGUAGGCGGCCAACUAAGUCAGACGUGAAAUCCCUCGGCUUAACCGGGGAACUGCCUCUGAUACUGGAUGGCUUGAGAUUGGGAGAGGGAUGCGGAAUUCCAGGUGUAGCGGUGAAAUGCGUAGAUAUCUGGAGGAACACCGGUGGCGAAGGCGGGUCUCUGGGCCGAUACUGACGCUGAGGAGCGAAAGCGUGGGGAGCGAACAGG